rnacentral:rRNA from 1 species
AAUGAACGCUGGCGGCGUGCUUUACACAUGCAAGUCGAGCGAGGCGGGUAGCAAUACCCAGUCGAGCGGCGAACGGGUGAGUAACGCGUGGAUUAUCUGCCCUGAGGUGGGGGAUAACCCGGGGAAACUCGGGCUAAUACCGCAUGAUACCGAGAGGUCAAAGGGGGCCGCAAGGCUCUCGCCAUGGGAGGAGUCCGCGUUCGAUUAGCUAGUUGGUAGGGUAAUGGCCUACCAAGGCGACGAUCGAUAGCCGGCCUGAGAGGGUGAUCG